rnacentral:rRNA from 1 species
CGCAUCUGUGCAUGCAGCAUAUCAAUAAGCGGAGGAAAAGAAACUAACAAGGAUUCCCUAGUAACGGCGAGUGAAGCGGGAAGAGCUCAAAUUUGAAAUCUUAAAGGUUUUACCUUGACGAAUUGUAGUUUAAAGAAGUGUUUUCUGCUGAAGUUUUGGUAAAAGUUCUUUGGAAUAGGACAUCAUAGAGGGUGAGAAUCCCGUAUUUGACCAUUAUUUUCAGCUUUGUGAUACACUUUCAAAGAGUCGGAUUGUUUGGGAAUGCAGACCAAAAUGGGUGGUAAAUUUCAUCUAAAGCUAAAUAUUGGCGAGAGACCGAUAGCGAACAAGUACCGUGAGGGAAAGAUGAAAAGAACUUUGAAAAGAGAGUUAAACAGUACGUGAAAUUGUCAAAAGGGAAGCGUUUGACACCAGUGUUGUUUUUCUGAAAAUCAAUUAAAGAACUGUUUAUGCUAAGCUUGUUUAGACUUUAUCAGCUAAUCUGUUUAGUUUUGAGCUUUUCUUUAAUGCACUUUUCAGUUAACAAGUCAACAUCAAUUUCUUUUGCUGUAAAAAAGCUUGAGGAAGGUGGCUUGAGAUUCGUCUUAAGUGUUUAUAGCCUCUUGCCUAUGCAGUCGGAGAGAUUGAGGUCUGCAGCGUAGAUCCUUCGGAGCUAAAUGCAUUUGUGCUAAGUUAUAGCAUUUUAUAGACAACUUGUUGACUAUGAUUUGUCUUGUAGCUUACUCGCUUAUGUUAUUUUACCUACGCUUAGGAUGUUGAUAGUCACAGCGUGUAC